GUCGAGCGGUAACAGAAAGUAGCUUGCUACUUUGCUGACGAGCGGCGGACGGGUGAGUAAUGCCUGGGAAUAUGCCUUGAUGUGGGGGAUAACUAUUGGAAACGAUAGCUAAUACCGCAUAAUGUCUUCGGACCAAAGAGGGGGAUCUUCGGACCUCUCGCGUCAAGAUUAGCCCAGGUGAGAUUAGCUAGUUGGUGGGGUAAGAGCUCACCAAGGCGACGAUCUCUAGCUGGUCUGAGAGGAUGAUCAGCCACACUGGAACUGAGACACGGUCCAGACUCCUACGGGAGGCAGCAGUGGGGAAUAUUGCACAAUGGGCGAAAGCCUGAUGCAGCCAUGCCGCGUGUAUGAAGAAGGCCUUCGGGUUGUAAAGUACUUUCAGUCGUGAGGAAGGGUGUGCAGUUAAUAGCUGUACAUCUUGACGUUAGCGACAGAAGAAGCACCGGCUAACUCCGUGCCAGCAGCCGCGGUAAUACGGAGGGUGCGAGCGUUAAUCGGAAUUACUGGGCGUAAAGCGCAUGCAGGUGGUUCAUUAAGUCAGAUGUGAAAGCCCGGGGCUCAACCUCGGAACCGCAUUUGAAACUGGUGAACUAGAGUGCUGUAGAGGGGGGUAGAAUUU
rnacentral:rRNA from 1 species